UGCAGGAAGAAGGUGCCCAGAACCAUCCAGGUUCUGAGCAUGCAGCCCCGGUGGCGGCGGGAAGCAGAUGGGGCGCAGUCAGUGCAUACAGCACAUCAUCCUGACUGACGUUGAGCCGCACACGAAGGAGGAGGUCAUUCCUGCUGGACUCUACCAGGAGAAGGCGGCAGGAGCCCAGGCGUGAACAUACGGCCAUAGUCUCUGACAUGGACACCCUGGCCCAGCUUAUGGACAAUUUACUGCCGAGAACCUACCAAUCGGCUGGACACUCGCUUCAUCAGGAUCCUUUCUGGCAGAUCCAUGGUGUUAGCAAUGGCCAGGAC